UGAGAGAUUAAGAACAAUGUGUGCAAAUUAUACUAAUAACAAAGACAUGGCAGCUUUCCUAGAUGUGAUAUCUCCUGGAAAUUUCGACAAUGUGUUGUUCAAGAAUUUAAUGAAGGGAAUUGGAGUCCUAGGUUCAGACCAAUUACUAUAUAAUGACACUAGAACAAGGCCAUUUGUUGAAUUAUAUGCUAAAGAUAGCAAUGCUUUUGCUACUGAUUUUGCUGUUGCAAUGGAGAAACUAAGUGUAUAUCAAGUCAAGAUUGGUAAUCAAGGAGAGGUGAGGAAGAGAUGUGAUGCUGUUAACAAUGCUCACCCUUGAAAGAGAAUAGAGAAAGAAAAUGCCAUGAAUUUUUUCUAUGGUUUUGUUUGAUUUUUUAAUGAACCAAGAACUCUCCAUUAUGAUGUGUAGAAUUUGUACUUAUGAUGAUGAAUGGUAUAUUGGAUAAGAAAAUCAUUAGUAUUGUGAUUAUUUUUAUCAAUCUAGUGUAAGUUUUGCAUGUUAAACAAUGGGAAUAAUGGGGGUCCCCUUCCUUUCUGAAAUUUGGUUCCAUCAUAAAUUUAGAGAAUGUAUGUUUACUUGAUAUUUAAAACUACAAGGGAGUA
rnacentral:lncRNA from 1 species